GACGAACGCUGGCGGCGUGCUUAACACAUGCAAGUCGAACGGAAAGGCCCUGCUUUUGUGGGGUGCUCGAGUGGCGAACGGGUGCGUAACACGUGAGUAACCUGCCCUUGACUUUGGGAUAACUUCAGGAAACUGGGGCUAAUACCGGAUAGGAGCUCCUGCUGCAUGGUGGGGGUUGGAAAGUUUCGGCGGGUGGGGAUGGACUCGCGGCUUAUCAGCUUGUUGGUGGGGUAGUGGCUUACCAAGGCUUUGACGGGUAGCCGGCCUGAGAGGGUGACCGGCCACAUUGGGACUGGGAUACGGCCCAGACUCCUACGGGAGGCAGCAGUGGAGAAUAGUGCACAAUGGGCGGAAGCCUGAUGCAGCAACGCCGCGUGCGGGAUGACGGCCGUCGGGUUGUAAACCGCGUUCGCCUGUGACGAAGCGUGAGUGACGGUAAUGUGUAAAGAAGCACCGGCUAACUACGUG
rnacentral:rRNA from 1 species